rnacentral:rRNA from 1 species
AUUGAACGCUGGCGGAAUGCUUUACACAUGCAAGUCGAACGGCAGCACGGGGCAACCUGGUGGCGAGUGGCGAACGGGUGAGUAAUACAUCGGAACGUGCCCAAUCGUGGGGGAUAACGUAGCGAAAGUUACGCUAAUACCGCAUACGAUCUACGGAUGAAAGCGGGGGAUCGCAAGACCUCGCGCGAAUGGAGCGGCCGAUGUCAGAUUUAGGUAGUUGGUGGGGUAAAGGCUCACCAAGCCAACGAUCUGUAGCUGGUCUGAGAGGACGACCAGCCACACUGGAACUGAGACACGGUCCAGACUCCUACGGGAGGCAGCAGUGGGGAAUUUUGGACAAUGGGCGCAAGCCUGAUCCAGCCAUUCCGCGUGCAGGAUGAAGGCCUGGUU